GACGAACGCUGGCGGCGUGCCUAAUACAUGCAAGUCGAACGCUGAAGGAGGAGCUUGCUUCUCUGGAUGAGUUGCGAACGGGUGAGUAACGCGUAGGUAACCUGCCUGGUAGCGGGGGAUAACUAUUGGAAACGAUAGCUAAUACCGCAUAAUAGUAGAUGUUGCAUGACAUUUGCUUAAAAGGUGCAAUUGCAUCACUACCAGAUGGACCUGCGUUGUAUUAGCUAGUUGGUGGGGUAACGGCUCACCAAGGCGACGAUACAUAGCCGACCUGAGAGGGGGGUCGGCCACACUGGGAAUGAGACAAGGCCCAGACUCCUACGGGAGGCAGCAGUAGGGAAUCUUCGGCAAUGGACGGAAGUCUGACCGAGCAACGCCGCGUGAGUGAAGAAGGUUUUCGGAUCGUAAAGCUCUGUUGUAAGAGAAGAACGAGUGUGAGAGUGGAAAGUUCACACUGUGACGGUAUCUUACCAGAAAGGGACGGCUAACUACGUG
rnacentral:rRNA from 1 species